AUGCAGUCGAGGGGCAGCACGGUAGCAAUACUGGUGGCGACCGGCAAACGGGUGCGGAACACGUACGCAACCUUCCUUUAAGAGAUGAAUAGCCCGGAGAAAUCCGGAUUAAUGCAUCGUAAGAUUGUGGGAUGGCAUCAUCCAGCAAUUAAAGAUUUAUUUCGCUUAAAGAUGGGCGUGCGCCUGAUUAGGUAGUUGGUGAGGUAACGGCUCACCAAGCCGACGAUCAGUAACUGGCGUGAGAGCGCGACCAGUCACACGGGCACUGAGACACGGGCCCGACUCCUACGGGAGGCAGCAGUAAGGAAUAUUGGUCAAUGGACGGAAGUCUGAACCAGCCAUGCCGCGUGAAGGAUGAAAGCCCUCUGGGUUGUAAACUUCUUUUAUCUGGGAAGAAAUCACUCUUUUCUAAGGGUGUUGACGGUACCAGAGGAAUAAGCACCGGCUAACUCCGUGCCAGCAGCCGCGGUAAUACGGAGGGUGCAAGCGUUAUCCGGAUUCACUGGGUUUAAAGGGUGCGUAGGCGGAUUAGUAAGUCCGUGGUGAAAUCUCCAAGCUUAACUUGGAAACUGCCAUGGAUACUAUUAGUCUUGAAUGUUGUGGAGGUUAGCGGAAUAUGUCAUGUAGCGGUGAA
rnacentral:rRNA from 1 species